UAGGGAAUCUUCGGCAAUGGACGAAAGUCUGACCGAGCAACGCCGCGUGAGUGAAGAAGGUUUUCGGAUCGUAAAACUCUGUUGUUAGAGAAGAACAAGGACGUUAGUAACUGAACGUCCCCUGACGGUAUCUAACCAGAAAGCCACGGCUAACUACGUGCCAGCAGCCGCGGUAAUACGUAGGUGGCAAGCGUUGUCCGGAUUUAUUGGGCGUAAAGCGAGCGCAGGCGGUUUCUUAAGUCUGAUGUGAAAGCCCCCGGCUCAACCGGGGAGGGUAAUUGGAAACUGGGAGACUGUAGUGCAGAAGAGGAGGGUGGAAUUCCAAGUGUAGCGGUGAAAUGCGUAAAUAUAUGGAGGAACACCAGUGUCGAAGGCGGCUAUCUGGUCUGUAACAGACGCUGAGGCUCGAAAGCGUGGGGAGCAAACAGG
rnacentral:rRNA from 1 species